GGAUCGUCUUGGAUGUCGCCGGCCGGGGAAGAUAAGCUGCCAGCGCUGGAACGAACCAAUCAACCAAGCGUCACUUGCAUCUGAUCCGCCGCGAUUCGUGGCCAUGGCCACGGAUUCAGGUUCAGGUCUGUACGCGCGCACUGCACAUCGCCUGCUUCUCGCCCGUCUGGACUCACCUUCGCCUCCGCCUCGCAAAUCAGCGAGUCUCC
rnacentral:lncRNA from 1 species